GACGAACGCUGGCGGCGUGCUUAACACAUGCAAGUCGAACGGUAAGGCCCUUCGGGGUACACGAGUGGCGAACGGGUGAGUAACACGUGGGUGAUCUGCCCUGCACUUCGGGAUAAGCCUGGGAAACUGGGUCUAAUACCGGAUAGGACCACUGCCUGCAUGGGUGGUGGUGGAAAGCUUUUGCGGUGUGGGAUGGGCCCGCGUCCUAUCAGCUUGUUGGUGGGGUGAUGGCCUACCAAGGAGACGACGGGUAGCCGGCCUUGGAGGGUGACCGGCCGCAGUGCGAUUGGGGUACCGCCCAGACUGCAACGGGAGGAAGCAAUGGAGAAUAUUGCGCAAUGGGCGAAAGCCUGGUGCAGCGACAGCGCGUCAGGGAUGACGGCCGUCUGGUUGUAAACCUCUUACAGCACCGACGAAGCGCAAGUGGCGGUAGGUGUAGAAGAAGGACCGGCCAACUACGAGCCAGCAGCCGCAGUAA
rnacentral:rRNA from 1 species